rnacentral:rRNA from 1 species
GAUGAACGCUGGCGGCGUGCCUAAUACAUGCAAGUCGAGCGAGCAGACGAGGAGCUUGCUCCUCUGACGUUAGCGGCGGACGGGUGAGUAACACGUGGAUAACCUACCUAUAAGACUGGGAUAACUUCGGGAAACCGGAGCUAAUACCGGAUAAUAUAUUGAACCGCAUGGUUCAAUAGUGAAAGACGGUUUUGCUGUCACUUAUAGAUGGAUCCGCGCCGCAUUAGCUAGUUGGUAAGGUAACGGCUUACCAAGGCAACGAUGCGUAGCCGACCUGAGAGGGUGAUCGGCCACACUGGAACUGAGACACGGUCCAGACUCCUAUGGGAUGCAGCAGUAGGGAAUCUUCCGCAAUGGGCGAAAGCUUGACGGAGCAACGCCGCGUGAGUGAUGAAGGUCUUCGGAUCGUAAAACUCUGUUAUUAGGGAAGAACAAAUGUGUAAGUAACUAUGCACGUCUUGACGGUACCUAAUCAGAAAGCCACGGCUAACUACGUG